rnacentral:rRNA from 1 species
AACGAACGCUGGCGGCAUGCCUAACACAUGCAAGUCGAACGAGACCUUCGGGUCUAGUGGCGCACGGGUGCGUAACGCGUGGGAACCUGCCCUUAGGUUCGGAAUAACUCCCCGAAAGGGGUGCUAAUACCGGAUAAUGUCUUCGGACCAAAGAUUUAUCGCCUUUGGAUGGGCCCGCGUUGGAUUAGGUAGUUGGUAGGGUAAAAGCCUACCAAGGCGACGAUCCAUAGCUGGUCUGAGAGGAUGAUCAGCCACACUGGGACUGAGACACGGCCCAGACUCCUACGAACGUGCCCAGUGGGGAAUAUUGGACCAUGGGCGAAAGCCUGAUCCAGCAAUGCCGCGUGAGUGAUGAAGGCCUUAGGGUUGUAAAGCUCUUUUACCCAGGAUGAUAAUGACAGUCCCGGGACAAUAAACUCCGGCUAACUACCUG